AGUUAGUCAGUGUCAGACGCUUGUCGGGGCAAAGGGCAUCAAGAAAUGAAGCAUAAACUUUUUAUCGCCUUUCGGACAGCCUUUUCUGUAGUUUGUUGCAUAAAACCUGCCGUAAAUCGCACCUCACUGUUACGCGAAGUCGGGAUUAGUGUUCUUGAAACUCAGUCUCUAUUCAAACCGAAUUCGUCAUUAUUUCUUUGAAAAAAUAUUCACCUGCAAGCUACACGAUACCCAUUCAUUCAAAGUCGUUAGUUUAAUUCAUAUAACACGUACCGUGCCUGCCAACGAGUACUUCACACUCCUCAAUGAAUUCGUGCAAAGGCAGCAACAUAUCGCGCAUGAAUGGAGCCCAAAAUUGAGCAUCUUUUGUACGAGUCCAGAUUUUUUAACCAACUAGAAACGCUUACGGAGGUGAUUUGUUCAAUUAAAAAGAACAGUACGCGGUCAAAUUCAAACAAAUUGGAUAUUUUUGGUGGUACAAUAGCGAUUCCGGUAAUAAAUGGCCGCAAAAGGGUUCCUUUCAUUCAGAAAAGUGAACAGGAUCGAGGAAAAGAUUGGUUUGCGAAAGGAGCAAGGUUUUGUUCGUUAGAAGGAAAAAAAAUCGUGAUAUCGGCGUUAUGGUAACUUCAUUUCAAACAUUACAAUUGCGUGAUGCUAUUUUUCAGCCGGUAUGUCCUUUUAUGUUUGCAUUUGAAUGUUAGAAUCUCGUUUUGGUUUUGUAAAUCGGAGAACUUCAUCCCCUGAUUCAAAAUACUAAGUUCCUUUCAUUAACAAUAAAUCGGUGAAUUUUAUUUAAUUCUUGUUGGUCAACAUUGGUUUGGCGGUUCCUCGGCCUAAAUAAUAUGACUUGGUUUUUUUUCUUUACGGUUAAAAAAAACAAUUUUCGUAAAAUUUACCAAAAUAAGCAUAUUAUAGAAAAAUAUUUACACCUUGGUUUUAGAAACCUAUUUACCCAAUUUUUUAUAUCAUUUUAAUCCAUUUUUUUAUAUAACCCUCUAAUGCCCAUAGUUGCACUAGAACACCACUAAAGUUUUACUUCAAAUUUAAAUUAGGUACUCGAAAACCAUUGAAUGAAUUGCACUAUUUCUUCUUGAACAAUGCUACUCGGGAUGUUUGCUGCCUCCAAUUCAAAUUUCAUCCAAUUUGGAGAAGUAAGUGAAAAAUUGCAAGGAAAAACGUAAAAAAUCAUGAUUUUGCACUGGGCGGGAAGGGGUUAAGAAGAUUUUGAUUUUUUUAAAGCAUAAUCUAAAGCCCGUACUUUGCCCAUGCAGGCCUGAUUAAAAAAAAACAUACUAUUUAAUAGUUGAUGCUGAUUUUCAGAGCCAGAGAUUUUUGGACAGUUAAAAAAAGUCAUAUUUGGGUUUGGUAGAAUUGCCAGAAAAAAAUAAUUGUUGAGAAUGAUUUCAGUUAUGGAGCAACAUUUGAAAAGGGCACAAACGCAUUUUGGUAGCUGCAAAUAUUUUCCAGUUUUUCAGAGAACGGACAAAUCUUAUACGAAACUUCUAGUGUUAAAUGAUAGCUGGCAAAUCCAGCUAUUUCGUUACACUUUAAGUUCUGUUCAAAACUUACCUGCGGCUUGGGAAUUUGCAAUAUAGUGCCAGCUGUCAAAAUGCUUAGCGACCCUUUUCUCGUGAUGGUCCAGACUUGUUUAGAUCUGAAAGUUUCAUCAAAAUAUUUAAAGAUUUGAGUAAGCUAUAAAGAUAUCAUAAAUGUUGAUAAACUUGUUAGAUCUUCAUUCUACUGGACUCGUUGCAAAUGUGAUUACCUUACCUACUCGUUGCAAAUGUGGUUCACCUGAACAUUAUUUUUAUCAAAAUAUCUGAGAUCCGGCUUCAAAUUAUAAUUAACUCUUAAGCGAUCAUAACUUUGAGCCGAUUGCUUGAAAAUGUUUAUUUUCGAAAGUUUAUAACAUUGCGGGUAAAAACCUUUAAAGGGAUCAUCCAUAAACCACGUGGGCACUUUUUUAGGGAUCUAUUCAAAUUGAACGUAAUUUUUCUUCAUUAAAAUUUUGGCUUGAAAAAGAUUCAAAAAUAUAAGCAAAUUCAUCAUUUAAAAAAAAAAGAUCGAUGCAAAUAUUUUUAAAAGAUAUCUUAAAAAUCAGGGAUUAAAAAUAUGUGCAAAUGAUCAAAGAAGUUUAUAUAUAUUUUUUUUUCAUUGCAAUCGACAAAAACAAUUCAGAAUUUUCGAUUUGUUUUUCAUUUUUUAAAAAGUUUUCUCCAUCCGUAAAAAUAGUAAAUGGCUAAAUUUUUGUACAAUAAUGCAGGAAAUACUUUACUUUGACUCACAAACAUCGAAUUGGUGCAUAAAAGUUUAAUUUGAAGUGAUGCACCAGAGCACCAUCAGGAAGAUGAGCAACUUUUUUUAAAAUCACAAAAUCUAGUUUUCUUCAAAUCUAUUGGUUCAGUUGUUUGAAAAUGCUUCGAAAUGUGUUAAAAACUACUUAUUCUUUGCUGUAAGACCAUAUUUCUGAUUUAUGAAAUACAAAUUUUAAAAUCUCUGCAUUUUCAGGUUUCUUUGAUUGGCUCAUUCAAAACCCACAAACAACCAUUUUCAUGAAAAAUGAGGAAAAUAAUAAAACCAUCGGUCUAAUAACAAUGUUUUGUCUUGUUUAUGAAUAGUCAAAACGUUUAUAAACUUUUGUUUUGAUAAAAAUAAGCUUUUUCUGUAAUUUAAAAAAAAAAGUGCUCCUGAAUAUUUAGUUGCUCAUAUGCCUAGGUGGUGCUCUGGUGCACCAAAUGAAAAAGGUUGAAAAACACUCAAAACCGGUCCAAACUCACAAUGUUAAUCACAGGGGUUUUUGUCCAAGGUUCAAAUGAUAGCAAAACAUUUUUUGUUUCAUAAAAUUUUAUGUUUGGUAAUUUUUACGGGCUUUCGAAAACAGGUCUUAUUUAUUUCCCUAAAAUUAGCCCAUUUUUCUUUACAUUUCGCACUGUAACUUUGCUUGUGCUUAACCAAAUUUGAUGCAAUUAGGAGAGCUGUUAGUAUACAUUCUACAGGAACACCUGCAACUUAAAGCACCAUGAAAAGUUGUGUUAGUUCCGAGAUAUUUGAGUUCAAGGUUUUGGUGCUCUGGAGUAACCAUGGGCGGGAGAGGGUUAAAUCAAAUUUACAGCUCCAAUACUUCUAACUAACGUGAAAUAUUCCGAGGAUUCCGAAUAUGACAAAAUUGAGACCAAAAAGUGCCGCUAUGGAAGCCUACAGGACAAAAACUAACGUUGUAAAAUGUUUGAUACAGAAAAAUCGAAAAACUAUGAGAAAAACUGCGAUUGGCCAAAAAGUCUUUUCCGUAGGCUUAUAGUCCAUGAAAUUCCCUAACUUUUGACCUAUAGGAGUACGGGUGUUGGAGGCUGUUGCAAAAAAAUAUUAAGGUUUUAAAAAAUCCAUUUUUAACAGUAAUUUGCAAAAGCUAUGAGAAAAAAUUUAACCAAUCCUGGAUGUCUAUGGCUUAUUUUGAAGUGCUUCAAAAGACCUUUCGAAUGCAUCUAAGAGUUGGAAUUGAUGAAGUUUUACGGAAAUGCGAGCAAUUUUAAGAUUUUUCAUGUUUUUUGGACCUCAAACUUCAAUGCCCGUUUUAACCCACUUCCCUUUGUCAUAGAGGGCUCAUAUUUGGCAUGAGUUCAUCUCAUGUAUAGACAAAUAAACGCUGAAAGUUUCAUCCAAAUCGGAGCACCUCGAUACGACCUGUUACACAUUGGUGAAAAACUCGCUCUUAAGUUUAUCCUGAUUUCCCUUCAGUCGCAUGUAAACUAAUUUUAAUGCAGUCAAAAUUACCGAUCAUGCAUAGCGCUGCGCUUCUCAAUUUUGCAGCAACACCAUUAUUUCUAGCCUUACCACAUGUUGGAGAAGAAAAAACCCAGAGUGAGAGAGUGGAAAUGAUGUGGCUUGCGGCUUACCUGCGUUGGUCCCGCGAGACCAAAGCCAAAGCGAUUUUAGAUUCUAAACCUUCCAAUAUGGAAGUUACGCACCUAAACUAAACAGUGCAAAUUAAUGUCACUUUGUCCCAUGCGUAGCUAUAAAACCCCUCUGGCACAGUUUGGUUUUCCAAACGCAGUGCACAAAUAAUUAGUCACGUCACGUGCAACAUGCAAAUAGUGCGAAUAGGUGUGAAAUUGCAAUUUGGUUCGGCGUGAUUAGGUGGUGUAGGCAAAUUUUUUAAACUAAAAUUGUGUGACGCAUAAUUUCAACCCCUAACUAGGCAGAACCAACAGGGUGGAAAAAAGUUUAACCCGUUCCCUUUGAACAAACAUUUAUUGAGAUGUUAACUAUGCUGUCGCGAUCCAACCCUUUUUCCCCCUUCCCCGCACAAAGUGACAUUUUUUCCGGAACAUUAUUUAUCAUUUGCGCAUGCCUUAAACCGAAGAACAAAGCAUACAAUUUAACAGAUAAAUCCUUUUUUCAGAAGUGAGCAACCAAGCAGCGAUAAAAAACCUAAAACUAGCGACAUGGAAAUCGGUUAUCUGCUGUUUGAGAAUGCUUGCAUAUCUAAUAGAUGGUAAAGGCUUCUUACUCUUUCUGAUGCUGAUAAUGCGUUGAGCAAACACGAUAAGCACGCUGCAACGCGCCCGAAACAGUUCGAUAAUAACUUGUGCACACACAACCGUUUCGGGAUUGAAAAAAAAACCUUUCUAUAAUAGAGAUGUAAAUUUUGUCGGGGUACGGAAUAUUAGCGAAUAUGCAAAACCCCUUUUGUACCGGUGAUUGAACCUCGGAUGGGAUUGGUUAAAAAUUAAGAAUGGGUGAAAUUUUAACGUCUUUUUGUUCCAUAAUUACACGGUAACCUUACACCAGUUACACCUCUUAAUAUAUUUUGAUAAUAUUGCAUUCCAUGUUUGCCAAGUAAUUCAAAUAUAAGUAAAAAGCAAUUCUAUUUUAUCUAUAUUUGACAUAACCAUAAGAUAUAGAAUUCGACGAUUCCUUUUUUUCUACGAUGACGUGGUAACUUUACUUUCCACACUUUUUAGUGGACUUUUUAUUUCGGCGCUGAUUUUAAACUGAAAACAGUUUUAAAUGCAUUUUCCUGCCUGGUAAUCAUUUUUAGCAAGACUAAACCAGUUUAAACAUACCGUCAUCUGGCGCGAAACGGGACAUAUGGGGCGAAUUGGGACAGCUGUUUUGGCCUUGUUACUGCACAAUUUUUGGAUAUGUUUGUUCAGUUUCGGAUAGAACAGACACAGAACUACAAAAAUCAAACAAAAAUUGUGCAUCUUUUCCCAAUUUUCUAGCCUUUAUGUGCUCUAAAAACUGCUGUCCCUAUUCAGACUGUAGUCUCGAUUCGCCCCAGAUGACGGCACCGUAAACCGGGAGAGCCGGGCUUGUUAACUAUAAUUUAGAAAAUGUUAAUAAAUGGGAUUAUUUUAAUAUUCUUUUAAAAUGCAAUGAUUUUCCAAUUAAAAAUGAGAAACUGUUUGUCAUUUUAAAAUACAAUUUAAAUCGAUAUUUUUUUAUAAAUAACUUUUAAAGAAUACUUGACAACAUUUUAACAUUUCAUCAAUUUACCUUUUAUUUUAUGUAUUUUGUUAACAUUUUAACAAGUAAACUAUGAUCAAUGAUCAAUAUCAAUGUCAUUACGCAGAUUUCAAAAUGAGAAAUUCUAACACACCUAUCAAAUCAUUUUUUCAAAAAAAAAGUUCAUGCACGUUUGUGAACAUUUUCAUUGAAAUAUUGAAUCCAUGGUCCAGUUUUACGAUGCUGGGCAAUUCUUUUCGGUUUCAAUUUCGGUCAUUCGAUUUUUUUGUAUUUUUUAAUCCGGCUGAAACUAUUUAUGCCCAAAGAAGCCAUUUUGCAUCAUUAGUUUGUCCAUAUAAUUUGCCAUACAAAUUUGGCAGCUGUGCAUACAAAAAUGCUUUAUGAAAAUUCAAAAAUCUGUAUCUUUUCCAGGAAUUUUUUGAUCGAUUUGGUUUCUUCGGCAAAAUUGCAGAUAUGGAUAAGGACUACACUGAAAAAAAUAUAUAUACGGUAAAAAAAAAUUGGUGAUGUUUUACUUCACUUUUUGUUACUAAAACUUGAUUUGCAAAAAACACUAUUUUUUCAGAUAUAUAUUAGGGGACAUAAAAUGCCAGCUUUUCUGAAAUUUUCAGAAUGUGCAAAAAAUCUUUGACUGAGUUAUGAAUUUUUGAAUCAAUACAGAUUUAAAAAAAAUCGAAAUAUCGGUCGCAACAAUUUUUCAACUUCAUUUUUCGAUGUUAAAUCGAAUUUGCAAUCAAAAAGUACUUGAGUGAAAUUUCGAGAAAGUGAACCGUUUUCAACUUAUAGCCAUUUUUAGGUAACUCAUUUUUUAAAUAAGUGCCCAUGUUUGCCCACUUUUGAAUAUUUUCAUUCUAAACUAACAUUCCAAAACGGCGUAAUAAUGAAUAUUUUGCCCUUUUGAAAUGUUAGUCUUGAUUUUAAAAAAAUUAAAAUCGAGUCGAGGUUCAAGCCAAAAUUCCCAGUGGACAUAACGCCAUAUUUUCAUUUCAAUU